rnacentral:piRNA from 1 species
UGAUGAACAUUACAAUGGGUUUAGGGUGGC